rnacentral:SRP_RNA from 1 species
GCCGGGCCUAGUGGCGCAUGCCUGUAAUCCCAUCUACUCAGGAGGCUGAGGCAGGAGAAUCACUUGAACCCGGGAGACGGAGAUUGCAGUGAGCCGAGAUCGUGCCACUGCACUCUGGCCUGGGUGACAGAGUAAGACUCUGCCUCAA